UCCCAGAGAUAGUUGGAGGAUGAUAGCAGUUACAUGCCGUGUCCUUGGAUGUCUUUCUGCCAAGCUGUAUCCUAAACAAAGCAUUAUGCCCGUCAGAAAAGUCAACAAUAAAAUGCCUUUUCACAUGAUUCAUCAUGUUUGGAAUACAUUUGUGAGCAUCUGAGAAGUCGGACUCUAGGUACUCCUGAGUUUUCUUUCAAUCUUAUGUGCAUCUUUUCCUCUUUUUCCUGCCCACAGGGAGCUGGAGUCAGCCAGGGGAACUUGCAGGAUGUCAGAGGAUAAGAGGAAAACAAGAUCAUAUUUAUUUUCCUGGACUAACUUCCUUUUGCUCCACUACAACCUGACCCGUGUCCUUCUGCAAGAGGCGCUGUUCUAGAUGCUGGCGUAAAAUGGCAAACGAGACUCAAUUCUGCUUUCAUCGGGCUCACGUUCCAAGUCACGUUUUCAAGAUGGUUCGAUGUGAGGGUCUUUCAACAAUGUAAAGUAUGUAUUUAUAUUAAAAGUAUGUAUUUAUAUUAAAGAUCGUGUGCAUGUGGCAGCUAAUUUUAUGGCUUCAAUGCCUGUUUCUCUCACUGCUAGUUUACUAUGAUCUCACAGAUAAAUGUGAUGUAAAAGACAGAGCCUCCACAGGGAGAAUUAAUUACUAGGGAGAAAAAGUAUAUCUGUAGUAGAUUUAGCCUAAAGAGAAGAGAAAGUUCCUCCUCUCUGAGUUAUUUCAUUCUUCCUUAAAACAUAUUAAUUACUUUUCUGGGUUUAAAAGUAAUAUAGGCUUACACAGAAAAAUGUUAACAGAAAUUAUUCAUAGUUUUACAAUAUAGAGAUAACACUUUUAAUAGUAGGUUCUAUUUAUGUUUCCUUUCUAUGAAUAUAUAUAUAUAUAUAUGUAUAUAUAUAUAAUAUAUACUUUAACUAGGAACAUAUUGUCAGUCGAUAAAGUAUAUUACACUAAAAAUUCUAUUGUAUUAUUUUCCAUGCCAUUGCAUAUAUUUUGAAACAUGACCAAGUAGUAUUUCUUUAUGAUGUUCUAGCCCACAUUUUUUAUAAUCUUUUUUCUUUGGUUGGUCAGGUGGUAUGCUCUCACUUUUUGUUAUUAUAUGUCAUGAUUUGAUGUAGUUUUUUUGCACAUAAAUUGUUGUAUGUUCAAGUUUUGCUUUAGUAUAUAUUAUUAGAAGAGGAUCUACUGGAUCAAAGAACAAGAUAUUUUUAAAGCUUUAGAUAUGUAUGAGCAAAUUUACUUUUUUAAAGGAAGUACUAAUUUAAAAAUUUAUUAGCAACUUAUAUUAGAGCCUCAUUCUCAAAAGGCCAAUAAUCAAACAGCAUGCAUUGUCUCUUCUCCAUCUAUUCGCUGGCCUUUUUAGGAAUGGGACUGCCAUGUAGUCGAUACAAGUAAACAUCCAAAUUUUAACAUUAGGGAAAUCUUGGACAAACAGGGUUGUGAGUGGGCCUUGAAAGAAAGGUGUCAAUUUAAAGGUUUUUUUAAGAUCUUAAGGGGGAGAUGUUAUUCCAAGAAGUGGAAGAGUUGAGAAUUCUGGAAUAAGCUUAUCUUCCUUUCCUUUUUUUAAAAUGGCAUGCUGUAUAUACAGAAAACAUAAAAAGGAGAUUAAGAUACAGAAUGAUUGAGAGGAGCCUGGAUUUUAACUAAAGUGAGUCAACUUGUUAUUACCAAUCUAUAUAAAAUGAAUCUGGGUCAUGAAAACAAUGGGAGGAAAUAUUAAUUAGAAUAGGAAGAAGAUUUUCACAUUUUCUAAGAGGUAGAAUUCAUCUACGAGGAAGCUAGGGACACUCAGAAAUGGACAUUGGAUUCAUAGAUCAAUGCCACUGGACAGGGACAGCUGGCGGUGUGCCAUAGAGAUCACUAAUGCUUAACUAUGGAGACUCAUUCAAUAAAGCCUGAGAACCGAGGAAGAAAAAGGAUUGUAUGCUGCCAACACUACUAUCACAAGGUAAAUACUCCCAAAAGCCUGGGUAUCACCAAGAUCCUGUUAAUGCCUCAGAAGCCUAUUUAAAGAAACUUGUCUGUACUUAAGAAUUAUCCGCCCUGUCACCUAAUCCCUUGCACCUUGUCAGCUGUGACUCAGAACUGAUAAUAAGGCUUUUUGCAUCGUGAAUAUACAAUACAGUGAUCCAUCUAGAAUCCAGGUGCUAGUCCUGACAUGGCAUUAUAUUUCCCAAUAUUUCAGUUUAAAUUGAGGUAGCAUAUAGGAUACAUGCCAUAAGACCAGAAGAAAUUUUUAUUUAAAAAAUCAAAAGCAUAGUCCUUUAACAAUGCUUUUUAAUAUGUCAUUCUAGAUACGGGUCAGUCCAAUGUCUGUGUAGUAAUUCCGUUGUUUCUUCUUUGAUUUCUUAUGUUGUAAUAACCCCGUGUUUCAUUUCUUCUUUUAUGGACUCGAUGCAUUUACUUAUAGGAUUAUAUAUGGAAUACAUACAUACGACUGCUCCUCAAUGCUGCCCACAUGCUGAUACCUGUCCUUUAUCUCACUGUCCACCUUUUUCGCUCAUCAACUCUCUCUUUUAUAACAGUACCUACCACUCCCUCUCAACUAUCUGCCCUCCCACAAACGUUUGCUUUCCGAUAGCAAGUAGAUGUGAACAAAAGAUAUGUAUCUGUGUCUGGACACAAACUAACCACGUCUGGACCCUUUAAGAAACCUCUGUUUUGCCCCCAUUUACUUUUGAGGUGACUCAGCACUUAACUGUAUCUCCUCAAAAUAGAAGUUUCCGCUAUGAAAACACUCGUAAGUAAUGUAGAUUUAACUGAAGUUUUAGUGGAUGAGGAAAUUAUUUUGCCAACCACACAGAACAAGCUUAAUAAAAAUCCUUAAACAUGUCAGUUACUUUCCAAAGCAACUCACCCAGUAUCGGCAGACUAAGCUCUUUUCCCUUCACCCGAAGAGUCUUUACAGCUUUUUCUGUCUCUCUUGCUCCUGUCCCUCCAUUUCCCUUUCUUUAAGGGAAGCAAUUGUGAUAUCUGUUAGCUUCUCUAACCCAUCGACACAGGGACCCUUUUCAGGAUGCACUUUCUUUAUAAAUGUGUUGGAAUUACUCCUUGAUCUGACCUGUAUGCAAGUGUAUGGCAGGCAGAGACUCCCCAAGCCAAACCCCUCUUUUUAGCUCAAUACAUCUACGCCAUCCUUAUGUAUUAGCUACACCUGUUCAUUUGUUUGGAAGUGUACAAACAUUAAGCAUAAAACAAAAAGCUGAAAGUUUUUGCGGAUUAUUCCUUUGAGAGAAAAGCAGUGAGAAAGAGAAUCAGGGGUACUUCAUCUGUACGUCUUUCCAGAAGACAAUCAAAAGCUACGUACAUGUGUGUACGUGUGUGUGUAUUCAAUAUUCACCUGCUACAUUUUAUCUUUUUCAUCUUUGGCAAAAAAAAAUGUUUUUAAGUACUAAAUAAAAUUGAAGAGAAGCAAACAUAGUUAAACAAGGGAAAGUGUACAAAGAAUAUUUAAUUUUAUUUAGGCAGCUCUGAGAAUGUGGAUACACUAACGUCUGUAAAUGUGUGGGCACAAUAAUACACAUUUCUGUUAGCUAUGUUAGAGUCUCAGGCUCUGUGUGUGUGGGAGGGUGGGAUGGGUGGUUUGAUAGUUGCUAUGUGCUGUCAUAUCUGGUAGUAACGGUGGCCCUAAAAACAUUCCCACGUCCUCCAAAGUUACUUUGAAGAACUCUAUGGAGUUAGGUAGGAUAGAGCAACAUGCUUAAAGGCUCCUGUGAGUUCAUACACAAACACUCACACCACACACACACACACACACACACACACACACACACACACAAAACCAUAGAAACCAUGGAUGGGGGAAAUUAAUGUUUGGAUUUUUCUCUGUUCAACAAAAGCAUCCACCCUUCCUCUAUCUGUAGACCACUCUCAAGACCCAACACUUCUAGACAGUGAUCUCCCCACACACAGAUUCACUGGCUUUUUCCACCCCAAAGCAGGAAAGAAGGACAUUUAUUUCUGACACAAUAUUAAAUAUUUAAAAGCUUGCUUCUGUAACAAUGAGGGCACAAGUGGAAAAUUCUCAUAUUGUAAAAUUUCAUAAAUUAUAUCGGUAGCCUAAGUCAGAAAUGGAAACGUGUUAUUAUAAAUAAUAAUGAAGUUCCCACUUAGUACAUCAUUCUUUCCUAUGAUCAUAUCUGAUGUUUAAUAUUAUACAGCUGGUGCUACUGGAAAAUCAAAUGAUGAUUUAUGAAAAAAGGGGAAAGCUUGAACUCUAGAAUAUUUAAAAUUCCAGUAGGUACAGCCCCACAAAUCAUGUUUUAUUUGCUUCCAAGUGGACUUUUCUUUUCAAUC